rnacentral:lncRNA from 1 species
AUCCGGAGCCGGGCGGCUCGCCCAGGAUACGGAGCCCGGCGGUCACGGGGGAGAAGGUAGCUGUCGGGCAUUCCCCUGGCGCUGAAGGGCAGAUUGCUGGUCUCACUCCAUUGCCCAGGCUUCAGUACAGUGGAUUACAGCUCACUGCAGCCCCAACCUCCUGGACUCAAGCGAUCCUCCCAGCCUCCUGAAUAGCUGGGACUAUAGGUGCUCACCAGCAUGCCUGGCUAAUUUUUGUAUUUUUUUGUAGAGACAGGGUUUCACCAUGUUGCCCAGACUGGUCUCAAACUCCUGGGCUCAAAAAAUCCACCCACCUUGGCUUCUCCAAAGUGCUGGGAUUACAGGUGUGAGCCACCAUGCAUGGCCAAGCACAUGAAAUUGCAUGCAAAGCUGCCAUGCUUCCGUAUUUGCAAGAGUUCCUAACCUGGAACAAGAUUAAGAAUCAGCAGCAAACCAAGUGAGAGUUUCCAGGGAGAUGGUGCAGCUUUCCCGUGAAUACCUAUGAAUUCACCACCUAAAUGGUACUCAGAGCUCUUAAGGGGACAGCACAAGGACGAGCCUGGGAAUCUAAGCACAGUGGGCUGAACAUCUGCUGGGACAAGGAUGGGGCCAGAGACAGAUCACUCUGACUCACCACCCUGCCACCAAACUAAUGUUUGAAAGCUCUAAAUUUAUUCAGCUUAUACUGAAAGGAAAUGAAGUCUAUGUCCAAAUAGGAAACAAUGUGGAGUACUGCUGUGCUGUGCCUUCAUUACCUGAGACUACAGCAGCCUGCAUUCUCCACCGGGCUCGGAGGAGUGCAGAUGCCUGAGCUAUGCAGUGUGAUUCAACAAUUCCAGUUGGACGGAAAAUACAGCUGUCUUUUUUACGGAGUUGAAGUCAAAUCUACGUGCAGCUUUUUUUACCUACAAAUAAUGGACAAGCUCCUGAAUCCAACAUAUUCUAGCUGAAACGGAUCCCAGGACGGAAUGCUGGAGAGAUGCGUAUUCCAGCUACAGGCCCUCAGAGCUCAGUGUUUACCUGUUCUGGUCUUUCCUCACAUAUCUGACAAUCGUUAGCUCUCUUUGUAUUUCAAAGAAAAGCUCUGGAAUGUGUCUGGGACCUGUGUAUAUAUGGGCAAAACUCAUCAACGAAUGGGCUCCCUGGUGAUUAUUUGGCAGAUUCCUGGCAAUUUCAUCAGAGGAUCCAAAAAUUGGAGAAACUCCAAGAUGAACCCCAAAGAUCUCCAUCUCCAGCUGUUCACACUCCUAUGUAAUCUCUAGCCCUUGGGUGUGGAAAGGACUUGUGACUUACUUUAACCAACAACAGAAUAUAGCAAAGAUGCCUAAGAACUGCAAAUGAGAAAUAAUUUUCUCACCUGGUCACAGCAUCUACCAAGAAUGGCGCUGGGGGAGAGAUCAGUGAGAUUCCAUCUUUAUUACCAUGUCCCUCCUUCCCUGUCAAAAGCAUUUCACAUCCCGCAAGUCCAUUAGACAUGGCACCACUCUGCUGUGGGAGAUACACACACAACUAAAUACAGGGUAACAAUACCUGCCUGGUCAGCACUUCAGCUCCAAAUCAAGCUUCACUAAUGACUAUGAGAUUAACGAAGAUGGUUUUGAUAAUUAUGACUGUUUGUUUUGUUUUUCUUAACUAUUCUUCAUCUGAGACUUUUACUUUUGUUUCUGCCAGCAUCCUGACAAACAUUUACAACCAGAAAGGGUAAGCCACUAGCUUGAAGCCAUUAAGUUAAGUUCAGUUAACAAGGCUUUGAUAACAACCCUCAUGUUUUUAAGGAAAAACAAAGAACCUAGUAAUCCUUUAGGCCUUACCCUGAAAGGGUAGCCAGAAGAAAAAUCACAAAUAACAUGAACUUACCGGAACAAUCCACCGGGGUGUGAUCAUGGAUGUGGAAGACACCUGAAAUAAUUUUAUAUGUAUGUAUUUACUUUUUGGAAAGACUGACUUAUUUUCAUACUUAUAAUACUUACUUACAUCUAUUAUGAAAUCCAUUCUAGGAGGGCAAUUCUUAAUUCUUAAUGGUGUUCCUUGAGCUGACAUGGACUUCUAAAUCCAAGACCCUUUUCUGUUAUACAACACAGAUGCUAUCCCUCACCACUUAAGAAAGUGUCAUAAUUUUGAGAAUCUCUUAUCUAAAAAUUUACCAUUCAAGAAUCUAUUACUACUUUCAGUUCACUUAAUAGGACUGCCCCUACCUCACACCCAGUAUUCAGUUUAACAUUUUAUUUUCUGAAAUUUCAGUUAAUUAAUUACAAAUAAUGAUAGCCUUCUUGGUAGCAGCCUGAACAAUGGAUUGUGACUAAUCCAAAUAAAGAGCAACAAGAAAGUACACAGAAAAAUAAUCUGUUUAGAUACAGAUCAUUCUCUAAUUAUCAUGUAUGCAUGAAGAAAGCGCAAUAAAAACACCCAUAUUGCUCCUGGUUCACAGGGCCUUUGAUACAUUAUUUUUAUAUGUUUAACUUUCUAUUAUAGGUCAUCUAUGUGUAGAAUUAUAAACUAAGGAAACCCACCCAUUUUACUAGUAAUUUAGACUAGUCCUUGCAUUGGUGGCCUUACAUACUCAUAAGAAAAAACUAAUGUAAGUCCAGGUAUUAGUAAAUUAGAUAACCACCAAAAGAAUAAAAACACAGGCUGGGCGCAGUGGCGCACGCCUGUAACCCCAGCAUUUUGAGAGGGCGAGGUGGGCAGAUCAUGAGGUCAAGAGAUCAAGACCAUCCUGGCCAACAUGGUGAAACCCUGCCUCUACUAAAAAUACAAAAAUUAGCUGGGCAUGGUGGCAUGCGCCUGUACUCCCAGCUACUCGGGAGGCCAAGGCAGGAGAAUCGCUUGGAGGCGGAGGUUGCAGUGAGCUGAGAUCACGCUACUCCUGGCAAAAAAGCAAGACUCCAUCUCAAAAAAAAAAAACCCACAAAAUCUGACUUUCCUACCAAUACUUUUUAGAUGCAUGUUAACAGCAGGAAAUAAGAGAGAAAAAAUAUCAUAAAUAAUAGUAAACAAAAAAUAGUUUGACAGACUUUUCCACACUUGCAGUUAAUUCUUAUCCUUGGUAAAGUCUUUGUUUAUUAAUCUAAGCUGGUCAUUCCCAACGGGUGGUUCCCAGACCACAUCUGCACCACCUGGGAACAUGUUAGAAACACAACUUUUCAGACCCCACCCAAGAUAUACCAAAAUUAGAAACUUGGAGGUGGGGCCCAGCAAUCUUGUGUGUUAACGUCCCCUCCAAGGGAUUCUGAUAUACACAAAAAUUUGAGAAUUAAUGAUCUAUGCAAACAUUCAGUAUCAUGUGUAUUUCCAAGCCUUCAGGAUGGCAUCUAGCCCCUACAGCAAUUCUCGUCAUAUCACUCAUAAGGUACAAAGUUAGUCAUUUCUGUUUUUUUUUUUUUUUUUUUUUUUUUUUGAGACGGAGUCUCACUGUGUCGCCCAGACUGGAGUGCAAUGGUGCUAUCUCGGCUCACUGCACGCUCCAUCUCCCAGGUUCCAGCAAUUGUCUUGCCUCAGCCUCCCGAGUAGCUGGCGCUACAGGUGUGCACCACCACCCCCGGCUAAUUUUUGUAUUUUCAGUAGAGACAGGGUUUCACCAUGUUGGCCAGGCUGGUCUUGAACUCCUGACCUCAAGUGAUCUGCCCACCUCGGCCUCCCAAAGUGCUGGGAUUACAGGCGUGAGCCACCGUGUCCAGCAAAGUUAGUCAUUUCUAUCUCUCUCAUCCCUGGAGGGAAGGAACUGUUUCAGUUGGCCCUCCAUAUCCAUGAGUUGUGCAUCUGUGGAUUCAACAACUGUAAAUCGAAAAUAUUUGGAGGGAAAAAAAGGAUGGUUGUGUCUGUACUGAACAUGUGCAGGCUUUUAUUCUUGUCAUUAUUUCCUAAACAAUACAAUAUAACAACUGUUUACCAGCAUUUACACUGCAUUAGAUAUUAGAGGUAAGCUAGAUUAUUUAAAAUAUACUAGAGGAUAUGUGUAGGUUAUAUGCAAACACUACACCAUUUUAUAUGAGAUUUAAGCAUGCAUGGAUUUUGGUAUCCAAGGGGAGUCCUGGAACCAAUCCCCCACAGAUACUGAGGGACAACUAUACUUAAUACAGUAUCUUCCAGACUGUAAUAAUGAUUGAUAUGUUCAAUGCCAUUCUUACGCUCUCAUCUUUCUAUAAAACUUUUUAAAAAAUUAAAUAUAUCCUUAUUGUCUCAAGAAACUGCUUUAUCCCCAUGUUUUCUCUCAUUUAAUAUGAUGUUGAAUUAUAAAAGGCUUAUAGAGACAUGUGAUUUGUAGACAGUGAUACACAAAUUCAAAGUGGUAAAAUUUUAGGACAGAGAGGCAAUGCUAAGUGGUUAUUAAAACAUAAACUCUUAUCAAAUGAAAAGUUUAACUGAAUUAUUAAAAAGGAAAAAACUGGAAUCUAGCAGGAACAUUUUUCAAAACAGAAAUUUCUUUCCAUCAUACUAUUUUAAAGCAUAUUUACCUGAGGUGCAACUGUGUGAUCAAUUAGAUUCUCAGUUAGAGAUGCAAGCAAGGCAUCCAAUUCAUCUGUAGCUUCCUAUGGAAGACAGGAAUCUAGAAUUGUUAAAUGACCCCUUUAUCAUCAGAUGUUAAGUUUUUUCCAUAUCCUCUCAAUUUAUAAUUCUGACACAGGCCUGAUUAGUGUUAAUCCUUUAAAUACACAGGGACACUCAUAAAUCAUGGUUGUUAAUGAUUCCACUUCUGCAUGGAGGGAAACCUAUACUACAAUCAGGAUGUGAAAAAGCUGAAGUGCUAUGUAAAUUUUCAAAUAGCUAUUCUCCUUUGGUAAGACAAAACUUGGGUAGGGUUAUGACUAUUCUGGCUCUUAACUUUUUCUUUUUAAUUACAAAAAAAUUAUUUUGGCUGGAUGCAGUGGCUCACACCUGUAAUCCUAGCGCUCUGAGAGGCCAAGGCGGGAGGAUCCCUUGAGCCCAGGAGUUUGAGACCAGCCUGGGCAAUAUAGUGAGACCUCAUCUUUACAAAAACUGAGCUAAGCUGGGCACAGUAGCACUCAGCUGUAGUCCCAGCUACUCAGGAGGCUGAGGUGGGAAGAUCACUUGAGCCCAGGAGACAGAGGCUGCAGUGAGCCAAGAUUACACCACCGUACUCCAGCCUGGAUGACAGAGUGAGAUUCUGCCUCAAAACAAAUUUUAAAAAAGUAAAUACAGCCGGGCACUCCUGGCUAACACGGUGAAACUCCGUCUCUACUAAAAAUACACAAAAUUAGCUGGGCGUGGUUGCGGGCACCUAUAGUCCCAGCUACUCGAGAGGCUGAGGCAGGAGAAUGGCAUGAACCCGGGAGGUGGAGGUUGCAGUGAGCCGAGAUCGCGCCACUG